UCAUCUAUAUCCAUUACAGAACUAAAGUAGAUCUCAUGGAGGACCAUGUAGAUGGUAAUUACAGACUAAAAUGGAAGCUAAAAAAGACACUACAUGACCGCAAAGUAAAUAUCCACAGUUACCAGACUAAUAUCUUUUGUUGUUUUGAUGUAAAACUGGUUUGGCUAACUUUGAUAGAAGUAAAUAGAAAUAAAUGUAAAAUCUGGCCAGUAAAAGCUCACAUGGGUUUAGUAAAAUAUUUUGACUUCUGCACAAGUACAUUUAAAGUUCAUGGCAAUGUUUACUUUUUCGUCACAACUUAUCUCUUUCAGUAAAUUCCAACAAUUAUUAACUGAUCUAGUUAUGAAAAGGCUCUGAGCUCUGCUUUCUUGUAGUGAUUUCAUUCUCAGCAUCAUGUGGGUGAGGUGUCUUGGAUUUGCUCUCCUGGUUUGCAUUCCUCUAGUGCUGCAUGCUCAAAGUGCAGGACAGCCAUGUAGUGCUCCGAGCCUGAAUGGUGGUUAUUACCUCCCUCAGCAGGAAUCUUAUCCUCUUGAAACGAAGAUCAGUUAUACGUGUGAUGACGGACUUAAACCAGCGGUGAAAGGCUGGUGGGCGACUAGCACAUGUCAAAAUGGGAUCUGGUCUCCUAACCCCCAGUGUAUAGUGCCAAAUGCAACCUUUGAGGAGGACUAGCACACAGGGGCUUCAAUGAAGAGACCACAAUAAUCAGUAAAAUACCAAUGAAUGCAGUGAGCCACCUCGAAUCAAUCAUGCAAUCGUCAUUAAUCAAGAUUACCAGGAGGCAUUUCCUUCAGACUCAGAAGUGUUGUAUCAAUGUAAAAAUGGGUAUGCUACAGAGGAAGGAGCCACCAAAAAAUCAGCCUUCUGCAGAGCUGGAAGGUGGACUGAAGUCCCAACAUGCAGAAUUUCUAGCAGCUCUGGGUCACAUGACAGCGACACUGCAGCUUCCAUCACAACAAUUGACAGAUGUGGAGCAUUCCCUGUCGUUAAGGAUGGUGAUUUUAUCCCAGAUGGUCAACGUUCAUUAAAGUUCGAGUGUGCAGUUCAUUAUAAAUUAGUUGGUCCAGAGACAGUGGUGUGUUACAGCAACAGGCAGUGGUCUGAGCUUCCCACCUGUAGAGCUGACUACUGCUCUGUGAACACUGAAGAAUAUACCGACUUAGAAAAUAUUGGAGUCAAAUACAUAACAAAUGGUUACAAAGAGAAACUGGAUUGUGUGGAUAAGUUUUAUUUUCGUAAUUAUGCUUUGGUGGAGUGUAACGAUGGAAUACCAAAGAUAUCCCGAUGUUGUAACAACUUUCAGAUAAAUACGGGUAUCUGCUGGAAUCAUGGUGAGAUGACAAACUGAAGACAAAUAUCAGUGUGGAGGAUUUUAAGAAGAAUAAUUAUGAUCAUACUGUCACACACUGUGCUGACUUGUCUGUGUUCAAA